GAUGAAGAACGUAGCGAAAUGCGAUACUUGGUGUGAAUUGCAGAAUCCCGUGAACCAUCGAGUCUUUGAACGCAAGUUGCGCCCGAAGCCAUUAGGCCGAGGGCACGCCUGCCUGGGCGUCACACGUCGUUGCCCCCCCAUCUACUCCUUCGGGAUUGCGGGGGGCGGAUGAUGGCCUCCCGUGCGCCUCGCCGCGCGGUUGGCAUAAAUGCCAAGUCCUCGGCGACGCACGCCACGACAAUCGGUGGUUGCGAAACCUCGGUUGCCCGUCGUGUGCGAUCGUCGCGCAUCGAGGGCUCGAAAAAAUUGCCGGGUUCCGGCUCGGCUUUCAACGCGACCCCAGGUCAGGCGGGGUUACCCGCUGAAUUUAAGCAUAUCAAUAAGCGGAGGA
rnacentral:misc_RNA from 1 species